GGAGAGGUGGGUGAGUGGCUUAUACCACCGGUUUGCUAAACCGGCGUGCGAGGUAACUCGCACCACGAGUUCGAAUCUCGUCCUCUCCGCAA
rnacentral:tRNA from 2 species